rnacentral:rRNA from 1 species
CAGCAGCCGCGGUAAUACCGGCGGCCCGAGUGGCGGCCACUAUUAUUGGGCUUAAAGCGUCCGUAGCCGGGUUGGUUAGUCUCCCGGGAAAUCUGGCCGCUUAACGGUCAGAAUUCCGGGAGAUACUGCCAGCCUAGGGACCGGGAGAGGCCGAGGGUAUUCCCGGAGUAGGGGUGAAAUCCUAUAAUCCCGGGAGGACCACCUGUGGCGAAGGCGCUCGGCUGGAACGGGUCCGACGGUGAGGGACGAAGGCCAGGGGAGCAAACCGGAUUAGAUACCCGGGUAGUCCUGGCUGUAAACGAUGCGGACUUUGUGUCGGACAAGCUAUGAGCUGGUCCGGUGCCGGAGGGAAACCGUUAAGUCCGCCGCCUGGGGAGUACGGCCGCAAGGCUGAAACUUAAAGGAAUUGGCGGG